AUUGAACGCUGGCGGCAUGCCUUACACAUGCAAGUCGAACGGCAGCACGGGAGCAAUCCUGGUGGCGAGUGGCGAACGGGUGAGUAAUACAUCGGAACGUGCCCAGUAGUGGGGGAUAACCCGGCGAAAGCCGGACUAAUACCGCAUACGACCUAAGGGUGAAAGCGGGGGAUCGCAAGACCUUGCGCUAUUGGAGCGGCCGAUGUCAGAUUAGCUAGUUGGUGGGGAAAGGCCUACCAAGGCGACGAUCUGUAGCUGGUCUGAGAGGACGACCAGCCACACUGGGACUGAGACACGGCCCAGACUCCUACGGGAGGCAGCAGUGGGGAAUUUUGGACAAUGGGCGCAAGCCUGAUCCAGCCAUGCCGCGUGCGGGAAGAAGGCCU
rnacentral:rRNA from 1 species